rnacentral:rRNA from 1 species
AACAACAGGGAUUGCCCUAGUAACGGCGAGUGAAGCGGCAACAGCUCAAAUUUGAAAUCUGGCUCUUUUAGAGUCCGAGUUGUAAUUUGCAGAGGGCGCUUUGGCUUUGGCAGCGGUCCAAGUUCCUUGGAACAGGACGUCACAGAGGGUGAGAAUCCCGUACGUGGUCGCUAGCUAUUGCCGUGUAAAGCCCCUUCGACGAGUCGAGUUGUUUGGGAAUGCAGCUCUAAAUGGGAGGUAAAUUUCUUCUAAAGCUAAAUAUUGGCCAGAGACCGAUAGCGCACAAGUAGAGUGAUCGAAAGAUGAAAAGCACUUUGGAAAGAGAGUCAAACAGCACGUGAAAUUGUUGAAAGGGAAGCGCUUGCAGCCAGACUUGCUUGCAGUUGCUCAUCCRGGCUUUUGCCCGGUGCACUCUUCUGCAGGCAGGCCAGCAUCAGUUUGGGCGGUGGGAUAAAGGUCUCUGACACGUUCCUUCCUUCGGGUUGGCCAUAUAGGGGAGACGUCAUACCACCAGCCUGGACUGAGGUCCGCGCAUCUGCUAGGAUGCUGGCGUAAUGGCUGUAAGCGGCCCGUCUUGAAACACGGACCAAGGAGUCUAACAUCUAUGCGAGUGUUUGGGUGUCAAGCCCGAGCGCGUAAUGAAAGUGAACGGAGGUGGGAACCCGCAAGGGUGCACCAUCGACCGAUCCUGAAGUUUACGGAAGGAUUUGAGUAAGAGCAUGGCUGUUGGGACCCGAAAGAUGGUGAACUAUGCUUGAAUAGGGUGAAGCCAGAGGAAACUCUGGUGGAGGCUCGCAGCGGUUCUGACGUGCAAAUCGAUCGUCAAAUUUGGGCAUAGGGGCGAAAGACUAAUCGAACU